UACGUAGGGGGCUAGCGUUGUCCGGAAUCAUUGGGCGUAAAGAGCGUGUAGGCGGUCCGGUAAGUCCGUUGUGAAAGUCAAGGGCUCAACCCUUGAAUGCCGGCGGAUACUGUCGGGCUAGAGUCCGGAAGAGGCAAGUGGAAUUCCCGGUGUAGCGGUGAAAUGCGCAGAUAUCGGGAGGAACAUCUAUGGCGAAGGCAGCUUGCUGGGACGGUACUGACGCUGAGACGCGAAAGCGUGGGGAGCAAACAGG
rnacentral:rRNA from 1 species